rnacentral:piRNA from 4 species
CUUCUGGGUCGGGGUUUCGUACGUAG